GAGUUUGAACCUGGCUCAGGAUGAACGCUGGCGGCGUGCCUAACACAUGCAAGUCGAACGGAUCCAUAUUGAAACCUAGUGAUGUAUGGAUUAGUGGCGGACGGGUGAGUAACGCGUGGAUAACCUGCCGUAUACAGGGGGAUAACACUUAGAAAUAGGUGCUAAUACCGCAUAAGCGCACGGUUCCGCAUGGAACAGUGUGAAAAACUCCGGUGGUAUACGAUGGAUCCGCGUCUGAUUAGCCAGUUGGCGGGGUAACGGCCCACCAAAGCGACGAUCAGUAGCCGGCCUGAGAGGGUGAACGGCCACAUUGGGACUGAGACACGGCCCAAACUCCUACGGGAGGCAGCAGUGGGGAAUAUUGCACAAUGGGGGAAACCCUGAUGCAGCGACGCCGCGUGAGUGAAGAAGUAUCUCGGUACGUAAAGCUCUAUCAGCAGGGAAGAAAAAAAGUCCUUUGGACUUUGGACGGUACCUGACCAAGAAGCC
rnacentral:rRNA from 1 species